CAGGCAGCCAACAAAUCUGCUUUCUGAAUGUAUUUCUGCAGAAGUUUAGAAAAAGCUGGCAAAGAAAC
rnacentral:snoRNA from 1 species